rnacentral:rRNA from 1 species
GACGAACGCUGGCGGCGCGCCUAACACAUGCAAGUCGAACGGAGCUGAGAGAAGCUUGCUUUUCUUAGCUUAGUGGCGAACGGGUGGGUAACGCGUGAGUAACCUGCCCUGGAGUGGGGGACAACAGUUGGAAACGACUGCUAAUACCGCAUAAGCCCACGAUCCGGCAUCGGAUUGAGGGAAAAGGAUUUAUUCGCUUCAGGAUGGACUCGCGUCCAAUUAGCUAGUUGGUGAGGUAACGGCCCACCAAGGCGACGAUUGGUAGCCGGACUGAGAGGUUGAACGGCCACAUUGGGACUGAGACACGGCCCAGACUCCUACGGGAGGCAGCAGUGGGGGAUAUUGCACAAUGGGGGAAACCCUGAUGCAGCGACGCCGCGUGGAGGAAGAAGGUUUUCGGAUUGUAAACUCCUGUCGUUAGGGACGAUAAUGACGGUACCUAACAAGAAAGCACCGGCUAACUACGUG